UUGAAUUUUAAUGAAGAGUUUGGUUGUAGCUGGCCCAUUCAUUUGGCAUGUGCACACCUUCCUCUUUCUAUCCCACACACACCUGUGAACCUGUGAGACAGAGAUGGGGAAUUUACUUGCUGCUUUUGGAAUACAAAGGCAAUAGGUUAUUGGACCCCCCCUCUGUCUACUCAAUUAAUAUAAACUCAAUUUAUUUAAAACGAAUGUAAUGGAUGUAACACAUCUCAUAC
rnacentral:misc_RNA from 1 species